GGUUGUGGCUCAGAGGUAGAGCACUCGCCUAGCAUGUGUGAGGCACUGGGUUUGAUCCUCAGCACCA
rnacentral:tRNA from 1 species